rnacentral:lncRNA from 1 species
AUGGAAUGUACUGUUUCAGGGAUCCUUGUCAUUUGAAGAUGUGACUGUGGGCUUCACCCAGGAGGAGUGGCAGCAUCUGGACCCUGCUCAGAUGACCCUGUACAGGGAUGUGAUGCUAGAGAACUACAGCCACCUCGUCUCAGUGGGAUAUUGCAUCCCUAAACCAGAAGUGAUCUUCAAAUUGGAACAAGGAGAGCAGCCAUAGACAUUAGAGGAAGAGCCCCCAGGCCAGAGAUACCCA